rnacentral:rRNA from 1 species
UACGGAGGGUGCAAGCGUUAUCCGGAAUCAUUGGGUUUAAAGGGUCCGCAGGCGGUCAAUUAAGUCAGAGGUGAAAUCCCACAAGCCUUAACUGUGGAACUGCCUUUGAUACUGGUUGACUUGGAGUUAUACGGAAGUAGAUAGAAUAGUGUAGUGUAGCGGUGAAAUGCAUAGAUAUUACAUAGAAUACCGAUUGCGAAGGCGCAGUCUACUACGUAUAUACUGACGCUACAUGGGAACGAAAAGCGUGGGGAGCGAACAGGAUUAGAUACCCCGGUAGUCC